rnacentral:lncRNA from 1 species
AUCAAAUUGAAAUCUAUAAUAAAACUAACAUGUAAUAUGUGUUUUUAGAGAAAUAUAUCAUAUUAACAAAUCUGAAACUAAUAUCUAUAAAAUAACAAAAUAAGACUGGAAAAUGUCAAAAUGUCUCUGUCUUCCUUGGAAUUGUCUCCUUUAAAGUUUUUGCUCAGAUAAUGUGGAACUAAUUAGUGAAAUACAGAACAAGAAAAGGUGCCAAAUGUCUGAAGAUUAUGACAAACCUAUCACAAAUAUGCUGCUGAUAAGAAUCAUCAACAUUGUUUCAUUUAUAUAUUUAUUUUUAUAAGUAUUUUUCCCUGUUAUUGAUGAUAAAAAUGAAGAAAUUAAUGUAACACUGAAAACAAAAUUUACUUGGCAUUGCUGCUGACAGGAUAUCUAACUGGUUAAUUAGAAUAUUGUUGUUUUUCCAGAAUUUAUUCCCCAUUAGUAAACCAAAUGACAUUCAGUAUAUUACUGCAGCGCUGGAUUAACCAUUGAGCAAAAUAAGCACGUGUUUAGGGCACCAAGGGAAGUGAGGCACCACAGACAUGGUAAAUGGUUUACAGCACAAAAGAAAUUACUUUAAUCUUGCUAUAAUAAUAUUUGGGAUUAAU